AUGGCCCCUUUUGAACCCCUAUAAAAGCCCAUUUUAAAACCCUAAAGCCAUUCCCUUUCUCUGCCAUUUUUGUGGUGCGCCGCAACUCCUCUCAAAGUCCCCUUCUCUGCCGCUCCGACUCCGACCAGACAACGGCGAAAAGAGGCCUUCAAUCGCCUCCAAAAAACAGUACAAACGUGUGGCGUGCGCGAGUGCUGAACGUGGAGUGAUGUAGAGCUGGAGAUUGCUGCGACUUGGGGCGUUGUUGUGAGAGAAGAACGUGGGCAGUUGCGGCGCUGGCUUGCUAACUGCUAGGGUUUCUGAUUUUGUUUUGUUUGGGCCACUCUGUAAUUGGGUCACAAAAAAUGGGCUUUUAAUUCAGCUAUUGGGUCGGGGUGUUAUUGGGUUAAAAAUGGGUUUGUAAUUUAUUGUAUUUUUAUUUUAAGGUUUAUGUAUUUGGGCCCGGGCUAAAAUGGCCUAUUACAGCCCUAAUUUUAAUUA